rnacentral:rRNA from 1 species
UAACUAUAGCUUCGCAAUGACAACCUUGAUUGAAUGUGUAGGGUAGGUGGGACAUGGUGACACACAACACCAAUUCGGAAAGGUCACUCUCUUGCUUAAGGAUGCCUGUGAGGUGGGUAGUUUAUUUGGAGCAGAUGCGUCCUAAAGAGUAACGGAGGUGUGUGACAGUAGGCUCAAGCUAAAAUUUUUGUUGUUGAGAGUAUUAUAAGCUUGCUUGAUUGUGAGACCUAUUAGUCGAACAUAGAUGAAAAUCGGCCAUAAUGAUUCGAGGGACCUGUAGGAAAAGGCUCUCACUCGACAGAUCAA